UGGGGAAUUUUGGACAAUGGGGGCAACCCUGAUCCAGCCAUGCCGCGUGAGUGAAGAAGGCCUUCGGGUUGUAAAGCUCUUUCGGCGGGGACGAAACGGUCCGUGACAACACCACGGACUAAUGACAGUACUCGCAGAAGAAGCACCGGCUAACUACGUGCCAGCAGCCGCGGUAAUACGUAGGGUGCAGGCGUUAAUCGGAAUUACUGGGCGUAAAGCGUGCGCAGGCGGCUCCUUAAGUCAGAUGUGAAAUCCCCGGGCUUAACCUGGGAACUGCGUUUGAAACUGAGGGGCUAGAGUGUGGAGGAGGGAGGUGGAAUUCCAGGUGUAGCAGUGAAAUGCGUAGAGAUCUGGAGGAACACCGAUGGCGAAGGCAGCCCCCUGGGCUAACACUGACGCUCAUGCACGAAAGCGUGGGGAGCAAACAGGAUUAGAUACCCUCGUAGUCCCUGAGCGGGCUGGCAAGGCGCAU
rnacentral:rRNA from 1 species